GUUCCAAACGGCCGUCCGCGAGCUGCAGCGCGAGCGGCCGUGGGCCGCCUGCCGCCGGUGAAGCGGCCCCACAUCCGGAGACUUGACUACCCUGCCCUUACCUGAAGAAGAGGAAAACCAAAUGCUUUGCAAUGUUGAUGGAAGAAAGCCAAAGGUGGAAAAUAAUGCCAACAGAUUUACUCAGGAUAUGAUGGAAAUUAAUGGGAAAAAAUUAUUUUACAUAAAAUUAUGAUUUCAAACUUGCAGUUUCUGAUUUACAUUUACCAUGUUGAAAUAAAUAAUUUUCAAUUUGA